rnacentral:rRNA from 1 species
UAUCAGAACUGUAGGGACGCAUGUGGAAAGCACGGGCCGGGAAUGGAAAGACCGGUACAAGCGGGGUAGGUGUACAAUAGGCAAAUCCGUUGUAUAAUCCGAAGACGUGAUGUGGAGCGAAAUAAAGUAGUGAAGCGUGUGAGCCAUGUGCCGAGAAAAGCUGCUAUUGUGUAAUGCGUGCCCGUACCGUAAACCGACACAGGUGGAUGAGGAGAGAAUCCUAAGGCCGGCGGAAGAAGCAUUGUUAAGGAAUUCGGCAAAAUGACCCCGUAACUUCGGGAGAAGGGGUGCCUGCGAGGGCAGGCCGCAGAGAAUAGGCUCAAGCAACUGUUUAGCAAAAACACAGGUCUAUGCGAAACCGAAAGGUGAAGUAUAUGGGCUGACGCCUGCCCGGUGCUGGAAGGUUAAGAGGAGAGGUUAGCUUCGGCGAAGCUUUGAAUUUAAGCCCCAGUAAACGGCGGCCGUAACUAUAACGGUCCUAAGGUAGCGAAAUUCCUUGUCGGGUAAGUUCCGACCCGCACGAAAGGCGUAAUGAUUUGAGCACUGUCUCGACAAUGCAUCCGGUGAAAUUGAAGUACCAGUGAAGAUGCUGGUUACCCGCGCCAGGACGGAAAGACCCCAUGGAGCUUUACUCCAGUUUGAUACUGGGAUUCGGUACUGCAUGUACAGGAUAGGUGGGAGACGAAGAAGGAUGGACGCCAGUCUGUCCGGAGUCGCUUUGGGAUACCACCCCUGUAGUACUGGGUUUCUAACCAGUUGCCAUGAACUGGCAAUGGGACAAUGUCAGGCGGGGAGUUUGACUGGGGCGGUCGCCUCCGAAAGGGUAUCGGAGGCGCUCAAAGGUUCCCUCAGAAUGGUUGGAAACCAUUUGAAGAGUGCAAAGGCAGAAGGGAGCUUGACUGCGACACCGACGGGUGGAGCAGGUACGAAAGUAGGACUUAGUGAUCCGGUGGUAUAAAGUGGGAUUGCCAUCGCUCAACGGAUAAAAGCUACCCUGGGAUAACAGGCUUAUCACUCCCAAGAGUUCACAUCGACGGAGUGGUUUGGCACCUCGAUGUCGGCUCAUCGCAUCCUGGGGCUGUAGCAGGUCCCAAGGGUUGGGCUGUUCGCCCAUUAAAGCGGUACGCGAGCUGGGUUCAGAACGUCGUGAGACAGUUCGGUCCCUAUCCGGCGCGGGCGGAGGAUAUUUGAGAGGAGCUGUCCUUAGUACGAGAGGACCGGGAUGGACGGACCACUGGUGUAUCUGUUGUCGACCAACGGCAUGGCAGAGUAGCCAAGUCUGGAAGGGAUAAACGCUGAAGGCAUCUAAGCGUGAAGCCCCCCUCAAGAUGAGAUAUCCCUCCUUCGGGAGUAAGACCCCUUGAAGACUACAAGGUAGAUAGGGCAGAGGUGGAAGCAUGGCAACAUGUGGAGCUGACUGUUACUAAUAGGUCGAGGGCUUAAUC